CCCGAAAGUUGCUUACAUCCUUCUCCUGGUUCUCAGACAGGGUAUAUCCUUCCUAUGUAGUCCUUCCUGUCCUCAACAUUAGACCAGUUUGGUCUUGAACUCAGAGAUCCACUUGUGUCUGUCCACAGAAUUUUGAGAUUGAAGAUACAAGAUGGGCUUCAAGACUGUACAGGAGAAUGAAGGCAUCCAACUAAGGAAUCUG